CCAUCGAGCCACUAACCUUGUGUACACAAUCCUCAUCUAACGUGUUAGGCCAAAUGAGAAUCUCGAUCGAUGCUUAUGCGAGCAUUAAACAAUACAGAACGCACAUAAAAACAUUUAUAUUGGAUAAACGAACAUUGUCAACUUUCAUGAAAUAUCAGAGCUUAUAUAACUCAAGAUACAUUUGUAAAAUAAAGCCCACCUUGAUUGGACAAAGUCCGAAGUCAAACAUAACUUGUCUCGCAAAAGCAGUGCUAAUCCUCUUGGUCAACUGAGCCUACAAGAUAAUCUAAUCUUAAUAGGUCUCGUGAUACUAAUCUUAGUUAAGAGCAAAGUAAAGCUUCUAAGUUUCAAUUCGUUAUGCCCGGAUUUUAAAACUCACUUUAUAAUAUGAAAAUCAAUUUCUCAGUUAAGGGCACCAAUAAUACCCUUGCUUGACUUUUCAUAAAUCUGAACUGAAAAUGAUAAUGGAAAAAAAAUUAUAAAUGCUACUUAGAAGAGUAAUUAAAAUAAAAGCUCAACUUGUUUAUUAAAACUAAUGCCCAACCAUUUAGAAAAAAAAACCCAAUUCAAUUGAAACUAACCUAAGCCCAAUAAUAAAUAAAUUAGCCUAGGCCCAAACCUCAAGCCCACUCCUUGAGCCCAAAUUCCUUAUCUCUCCCUUAAAUCCCUAAUUUAACACACACACACACACAACUCACGCACCCUCUUCUCGCUCUUUCUCUCUCUCAGCCGCUCACUCCCCACCUCCUCUGCGUCCUCCUGCCGCCGUCACCGGACGGCAGCGCCGUCCCCGGAGGCCGGCGGCUCCGCCUCCUCUCUCCUUCCCUUUGACCUCUCCUUGUCUUCCCUGAUCUCUCACCUCACUCUGAUCCUCUCCUCAACCUCUCUCCCUCUUCCUCAUCUCUCGCCUCCUCCCUUGCCCCUGUCCUCGCCGCACCGGCCACAGCUGCGGCCGCGCCAUUCUCCGCCAGCCGCUGCCUGUUCCUACCCAACACUGCCCUCACCUUCUCCCAUCUGUCCCUCUCUCUCCCUCGCGUACAUCGGACGGCAGACGACCAUGGAAGGCCGUCGCCACUGCUGCUCUGCUCUCGGCCGCGACCAGCGGCGCUUGGCCUUCGGCCGCGCCGCCCCGCUCAGCCGCCUCCCUUCUCCCUCGCGUUACCGGCAGCAGCGACCAAGGAGGGGCCGCUGCCUUGGCUUGCUAUGGCGGCGCACAAGUAGCCCCAAGGGGAACCCUUCCCUCUCUUCGACACUCACACUCAACAAAGCAAACAAAAGGAAAAAUUCUCAGAUUUGUAAAGAUUUGAUUUUUGGUGCAUUGGUCAAGGUAUUUCCUUAAUAGAAACAGUUGGGUAUUUGAAUUUUGUAUGUUAAUCUUUUGUUAUAACUGUUGGUGAUGUUUCCGUAAUAAGGAACAAAUAGAAGGAAAUAGAUGCUGUAUUAAAAUGAAAAUGCAUAGAUUUACAGAGAUAAUUGGGGUUACCAGCUGGAGUUCUGCAAUGAAAAGAGCAUAUUGAGUUUUGUGUGAAAGGAAUCGAGCCGAGAGCAAUUUUUGCUGGAUUCAGUCCACCAUUUUUCGGAAAGUGAAGAAAUAAACAUGAUGAAACAUAAUGAUACUUGACUGAGAAAUAGAAAGAGUUACUAUGUUGAUUGCUUCCUACUGCAGCUUGAGGAAGUGAUUCUGGCGGUGAAAUAGUGUAAGAAAAGUUGGGGUAAUUUAUGAAGGUGGAACGAUUGACGUGGUUGUAACAAAGCCAAAGCUUUUGCUUUUGGGAAUAGAAUAUCAAAUUUGUGAAAAUAUCAAGCAUAGUUAGACUUGGAGAGGAAGGAAAAUAUUUCAGUUUCUCACACUCAC
rnacentral:lncRNA from 1 species